CUUGUUUGAGCUAUGUUAGCGUCACUUUGAAGGAGUGAAGAAGUUUAAGC
rnacentral:tRNA from 1 species